rnacentral:rRNA from 1 species
UACGUAGGGGGCUAGCGUUGUCCGGAAUCAUUGGGCGUAAAGAGCGUGUAGUCGGUCCGGUAAGUCCGCUGUGAAAGUCGGGGGCUCAACCCUCGAAUGCCGGUGGAUACUGUCGGGCUAGAGUACGGAAGAGGCGAGUGGAAUUCCUGGUGUAGCGGUGAAAUGCGCAGAUAUCAGGAGGAACACCUAUUGCGAAGGCAGCUCGCUGGGACGUAACUGACGCUGAGACGCGAAAGCGUGGGGAGCAAACAGG